UGAAAACUACGGCCUGGGUGAGGAACAUGCCCAGUUCCAUUUUGACAAUUGCCAAGGACAGAACAAAAAUAAUGCAGUUCUUGGUUAUGCAGUGUGGAGAACAUUGACGGGAGGGCAUAAGACAAUCCAAUAUUCAUUGAUGCUAGCCGGCCACACCAAAUUCUCAUGUGAUUGGCAUUUUGGAGUGUGGAAAAACAGAUGGAGACACAUGGAUGCAGAGACAGUUGAGGAGGUGGCUUCCACAGUAGCAAUGUCAUCCCGUAAUGGCCACAACAUCCCCCAUAUUGUUGAUGGCAACAGCAAACCAGUGUUGUUCUAUGACU